rnacentral:rRNA from 1 species
GACGAACGCUGGCGGCGUGCUUAACACAUGCAAGUCGAACGGUGAAGCGCCUUCCUUUUUGGUGGGUGUGGAUGAGUGGCGAACGGGUGAGUAACACGUGAGUAACCUGCCCCCUUCUUCUGGAUAACCGCAUGAAAGUGUGGCUAAUACGGGAUAUUCUGGGUCUGUCGCAUGAUGGGUCUGGGAAAGAUAUUGUUUCGGUGGGGGAUGGGCUCGCGGCCUAUCAGCUUGUUGGUGGGGUGAUGGCCUACCAAGGCGGUGACGGGUAGCCGGCCUGGGAGGGUGGACGGCCACACUGGGACUGAGACACGGACCAGACUGCUACGGGAGGCAGCAGUGGGGAGUAUUGCACAGUGGGCGCAAGCCUGAUGCAGCGACGCCGCGUGAGGGAUGGAGGCCUGCGGGUUGUGAACCUCUUUCGCCAGUGAAGCAGGCCUGCCUCGUUUGUGGGUGGGUUGACGGUAGCUGGAUAAGAAGCGCCGGCUAACUACGUG